rnacentral:rRNA from 1 species
AUUGAACGCUGGCGGCAUGCCUAACACAUGCAAGUCGAACGGCAGCAUGCUCUGUAGCAAUACAGAGUGAUGGCGAGUGGCGGACGGGUGAGUAACGCGUAGGAAUCUGCCCUAAAGUGGGGGAUAACUCAGCGAAAGCUGAGCUAAUACCGCAUAAUCUCUUCGGAGUAAAGCAGGGGAUCUUUAUGACCUUGCGCUUUAGGAUGAGCCUGCGUAAGAUUAGCUAGUUGGUAGGGUAAAAGCCUACCAAGGCUACGAUCUUUAGCUGGUCUGAGAGGACGACCAGCCACAUUGGGACUGAGACACGGCCCAAACUCCUACGGGAGGCAG